rnacentral:rRNA from 1 species
AUGACGUCAAAUCAUCCAUGCCCCUUAUGUUCUGGGCUACACACGUGCUACAAUGGCCGGUACAGACGGACGCAAAGCCGCGAGGUGGAGCAAAUCCUAAAAAGCCGGUCUCAGUUCGGAUUGCAGGCUGCAAUUCGCCUGCAUGAAGUCGGAAUCGCUAGUAAUCGCAGGUCAGCAUACUGCGGUGAAUACGUUCCCGGGCCUU